AUAGGUUUUACGUGUACAAAAAUUGGCAGAAAUGGAUUUUCAAUGAAUAGAAACAGACCUUCGAAGCUCCUGGAGGCUGGAUUAAGGAGAAGGAAGCUAUGACUUUUAACUUUCUUCAGGUAUUAAAUCCCCUUGUUGGCUUUCCUUUGUGUUUCAGUUUGCUGCAAAUCUUUUCAGCCCCUGAGAAUGAGUGGAUAUUAUUGCAAGUCAUUCUGGUUUAAUUAUUUGCAUCUUUUUUGCCCCUUUUGCAUUUCUAUUAUAUGGAUGUCAACUAUAUAAUAAAUGAUAGGUCAAUAUUCCUCGUAGAUUCUAAUGGGAUGAGGUGGAUCUUUCUCGACUGGUGGUCCUGGAAAAGGGAUGUACUCACGGCUUUGUUCUAUUAAUAAGCUUGAGACACCAGCAAAUGCACAUCCCUAUCUGCAUACCCAAACCCACACUUUAUACUUGCUUAGAUAGAACAUGAGUACAUGGCUAUCUAGUCAUCGGUAUUCUGAUCAUCUAACUGUUGGUGUUAUAUGGUUGCGCUGAUAUGAUUAGCAGAUCUUCGCAUCUUGAACCAGCAUCCGCAGAUUCAUUCACUUUCUGCACUCUACAACAUUUUCAACCAUACUGGCUUGUUUGGAAUUCAAGCUUCCACUGUAAGCCACUUCUGUCUCUACUGUAAAAUAGCUUAAAUUAGAUCUUUUUCUGGAAGCAGCCAUGACGACAAGGUUCAGGAAGAAGAGGGGCCAUGUGAGCGCCGGCCACGGCCGCAUCAGCAAGCACCGGAAGCACCCGGGAGGCUGUGGAAACGCCGGAGGGAUGCACCACCACCGCAUCCUCUUCGAUAAGUACCAUCCCCGGGAUCUGAAGCUUGAAGACCCAGGUGGCCAGAAUCCCAGAUCAAAGCUGCAACAGUGACCGGCAAAGACGACGGCGACUCCGUUACGGUCGUUAAAAUCGACUCCGUUACGGUCCUGUUCAAGAUUGAAGAUAACAGAGGAAGCCAAUUUGGUGCAAAUGAGGGAAAAUCAUAUUCUCGUAUCCAAACAAAAAGGUAAGUCCUACCCACUUAUUACACAUUGAAAUAUAUAGAGUCUAUGAAGCUAUAGGGUCCACGUGCCAAACUAUAGAGUCUAAGCGGGAGAUUUAAAGUAUUGCAUCUCUCUCACUCUAAAACAAUAAAUUGAAAUUCUUGUUAGGCCUCCCCCUCUCUAUAUAUAACAGAAGCAGUUUGUCCUUCUCGUCCUUCUUCACCCUUUCUCUCUUCCCCUUCUCACAACAACCAGAACAACAAUGGCCAAACGUGUAUCGCAACGGUCGCGCCAAACACUUCCGGCGCCGGCACCGGUCUCCACCUCGAUUGGCACUCCUCCGCCGCCCUCCACAGCCAGACAUCCGCCUCCGGCAGACGGACUCCUUCUUGUCGAACGGAUUUCAAAUCAAUCUAUAGUUUGUAAGUGGUCAAUUAACACUGUAACUGCGGAAACCUCACAAUUCUUCAGUGAAUUCUUCACUGCGAUGCAUUUGAAAGGUCGUCUGUGUCUAUUAAUUGGAAAUCCUUUUCUUUCAAUUUAUAUGUUUGUAAAACCUAUAUCUGAAGCUGAAUGCCAAUUUCGUGUAGUUUCCUUGAAAUUCUCUAUCUUGAAUGUAGAUGAUAAGAAGACUGUUGUUAGAUAUGAAAAAUAUAAGCCUGGUGAUAAAUACCAAUCAGUAGGACACCGUGAUUUUGUCGAAUUUUCGACAAUUCUUGACCUUGAGUCAGGGUUUCUGCAGGAUGAGAAUCUUAAAAUUGCUGUUGGAAUUGAAUUCUUAGAUGAAAUAAAGAACAGUAAAAUCAUCAAGAAACCUGGAUCAGCAUGUGUCAAGUUUGAUUGGGAAAUUAGGAAUUUUAAUUUGUCUCGCCUACUCGUAGAAAAUGGCCAUCAGCUAAGCAGUGCAGUUUUCAAUGUUGGGAAAUCGAAAUUCUUCAUUACCUUGUGUGAUAGAUUAAUCGAAGGGGAAGAAUGUCUGGUCGUAGCUUUAGAUUGUGAGGAAAUAUUGAAAAUACCGGACAUUAGUCGCUUCUUUGCGGAGGAUGAGAGCUUUAAGGACAUGAAAGUCGAUACGUUGGGUAGCUUUACAUGCUUUUCUAAACUUAAAAUAAAAAAUCUGAAGGUAGAAUCUAAAAGCAUUGAAUGUGAAGGGCGAUUGGACCGUGACAAUCCCUUAGACGGGAAUGUUGCAUCUGUCAAAUUUCAUCAACCAAGACGAUGGUUUUAUGAUCCAAGAUCGUACUGCAUUCAGUGUCGUAGUUCGAUUAUUCGAGGAAAAUUUUGAAGUCGGUGCGGGUGAAUUGCGAGGGAAAAUUUUAACUCAUUGGGAAAUCCCCUAUUUCAUAGCUUUGAAAGAUUAUGUCAUGCGAGAAACAUGAAAGGGCGUGGCCCAUUCGGAAAUUCUCGCUGAUGACAUAAUCUUUCAAAGCUAUGAAAUAGGGGAUUUCCCAAUGGAGUUACAAUUUUCCCUCGCAAUUCACCCGCACCGACUUCCAAAUUUCCUCGAAUUAAUCGAACACGACACUGAAUGCAGCACCGAUCUUGGAUCAUAAAAACCAGCGUCUUGGUUGAUGAAAUUUGACAGAUGCACUUCCCGUCUCUAGGGAAUUGUUUCACGGUCCGAUCGCCCUCACCAUCAAUGCUUUAGAUCACCUCAGAUUUUUUAUUUUAAGUUUAGAAAAGCAUUGUAAACUAACCACCGUAUCGACUUUCAUGUCCUUAAAGCUUCAUCCUCCGCAAAGAAGACGACUAAUGUCCGGUAUUUCAACAUUUCCUCACAUCUAAAGCUACGACCCAGAAUUUUCCCCUUCGAUUAAUCGAUCACACAAGGUAAUGAAAGAUUUCGAUUACCAACAUUGAAAAACUGCACUGCCCUAAUGAGGGCCAUUUCUACGAGUAGGCGAGACAAAUUAAAAAUUCUAAUUUCAAUCAAACUGACACAUGCUGAUUCCAGGUUCUGAUGAUUUUACUGUUCUUUAUUUAAUCUUAGAAUUCAAUUCCAACAGCAAUUUUAAGAUUCUCAUCCUGCAGAAACCUGACUCAGGUCAAGAUGGAAUUGUCGAAAAUUCGCAAAACCAAAAACCGGUGUCCUAAUGAUUGGUAUUUAAUCACAGGCUUAUAUUUUUCAUAUCUAACAACCGUCUUCCUCAUCUACAUUCAAGAUAGAGAAUUUCAAGGAAGCUACACGAAAUUGGCAAGUUCCAAUUUCUACUCCUUCCACAGCUCUUCAUGGAAAGUUCCAUGGGGUCCACUUCCCUCGAAGCAAGUCGAAUAAUAAUUGAUGUUUUCAAUGCAACAUAAACAGAAAUAAAUAGUAGUCAGUUAUAAUGCAGAAAGAGAGAGAGAAAUCGGUGUGUGUGUGUUCUGAUCAUGAAUCUAAUUUUGGAAUUAAGAAUCAAGAGUGUAUCAACAGCUUGAUUUCAGGUUCUUCUGAAUGGUUGCGAUAUAAUUGGUUUCUUUCCUCAACAAAUUAAUAGGCAAACAUCUAGGUACAGCCAUCGACUUUUAUUGUACGCCUCUGGUACUCACACACAACAAGAUUCACCCAAGCACACUCAUCUUCAAUACUUGGCUCUAGUACACUACUACU
rnacentral:lncRNA from 1 species